GACGAACGCUGGCGGCGUGCCUAAUACAUGCAAGUCGAACGCUUCUUUCCUCCCGAGUGCUUGCACUCAAUUGGAAAGAGGAGUGGCGGACGGGUGAGUAACACGUGGGUAACCUACCCAUCAGAGGGGGAUAACACUUGGAAACAGGUGCUAAUACCGCAUAACAGUUUAUGCCGCAUGGCAUAAGAGUGAAAGGCGCUUUCGGGUGUCGCUGAUGGAUGGACCCGCGGUGCAUUAGCUAGUUGGUGAGGUAACGGCUCACCAAGGCCACGAAGCAUAGGCGACCUGAGAGGGUGAUCGGACAAACUGGGACUGAGACACGGCCCAGACUCCUACGGUAGGCAGCAGUAGGGAAUCUUCGGCAAUGGACGGAAGUCUGACCGAGCAACGCCGCGUGAGUUAAGAAGGUUUUCGGAUCGUAAAACUCUGUUGUUAGAGAAGAACAAGGACGUUAGUAACUGAACGUCCCCUGACGGUAUCUAACCAGAAAGCCACGGCUAACUACGUGCCAGCAGCCGCGGUAA
rnacentral:rRNA from 1 species